rnacentral:rRNA from 1 species
UGUUUCGGCUAGGGGGCCAUCCCGGCUUACCAACCCGAUGCAAACUGCGAAUACCGGAGAAUGUUAUCACGGGAGACACACGGCGGGUGCUAACGUCCGUCGUGAAGAGGGAAACAACCCAGACCGCCAGCUAAGGUCCCAAAGUCAUGGUUAAGUGGGAAACGAUGUGGGAAGGCCCAGACAGCCAGGAUGUUGGCUUAGAAGCAGCCAUCAUUUAAAGAAAGCGUAAUAGCUCACUGGUCGAGUCGGCCUGCGCGGAAGAUGUAACGGGGCUAAACCAUGCACCGAAGCUGCGGCAGCGAACGUAUCACUUAAAGCGAUUCAGCGGGUUACGAUUGACGGAGCGAAGCGACGUCAAAGCGUAUACAAAGUCGAGUCGGUUUAAGGAUACGUUCGUUGGGUAGGGGAGCGUUCUGUAAGCCUGUGAAGGUGGCCUGUGAGGGUUGCUGGAGGUAUCAGAAGUGCGAAUGCUGACAUAAGUAACGAUAAAGCGGGUGAAAAGCCCGCUCGCCGGAAGACCAAGGGUUCCUGUCCAACGUUAAUCGGGGCAGGGUGAGUCGACCCCUAAGGCGAGGCCGAAAGGCGUAGUCGAUGGGAAACAGGUUAAUAUUCC